rnacentral:lncRNA from 1 species
UCAUCUUCAAUUAUUGUGGGAAUUGUGUGACUGGAACUCUUCUCUUUCUUGGUCCAAUCCCAUGCUUCAUUUUCACAGAUUUUUACAUCUCUACUAAUCACUAUAGAGUGAUUCAGAGGAUGAUACAAUCUGUAUGCACCUGUCUCAUGAUAGCCAACCAGUAUCAUAGGUUCACUCUUAUCCCCCAACUUCCUUCUCUUUG